rnacentral:rRNA from 1 species
GGAAGGAUCAUUACCGAAUCGUGCAAGGAGCGUAAGACGGUCGGAGGAAAAACCUCGGGGGGGUGUCUAGUAGUAUUUCGGAGUGCUGUCGCUGGGCUUUCGGCAAUGUGCACGUCUCCGGAGUCCGAUGGGGUGUGUAUACACCCAACCCCCCCUCGGCCUCGGUCUCCUUCCGAACCUCUGAAGCUCCUGUACCUCUCUAACACCAUUGUGCACCUUGUUGUAGGUCUCGUCGAGGGACCUAUGUAUUCCUUUUUUAUAAAGCUCUCUGCAUGUAUACAGAACGUUGUCUUUUGACAAACAUGUCAUAUAAACAUAUAUAUAACUUUCAGCAAUGGAUCUCUUGGCUCUCGCAUCGAUGAAGAACGCAGCGAAUCGCGAUAAGUAAUGUGAAUUGCAGAUUUUCCGUGAAUCAUCGAAUCUUUGAACGCACCUUGCGCUCCUUGGUAUUCCGAGGAGCAUGCCUGUUUGAGUGUCAUCGAAAUCUCAAAUCCUAAGCUUUGCUUCGGUCGCCGACUCGGAGCGAGCUCGGACUUGGACUUUGGGAGUCUGCGGGCGACCCGACUUUGCUCGGGACGCCGGCUCUCCUCAAAUGCAUUAGCGGUGGGCUUCGAGCCUUUGCACGGCACGGCCUGUUCGACGUCGUAGUGAUCGUCGCGGGCUGGAAGUGCUUGGAUCGACGUGUCUCAUGCUUCCAACCAUGUGCCGCGCCGCGCCGGGGUUGUUAAUCCCGGGGCCGGAACUCUUUUUUAAGGCUUGACCUCAAAUCAGGUAGGACUACCCGCUGAACUUAAGCAUAUCAUA